rnacentral:rRNA from 1 species
GACGAACGCUGGCGGCGUGCUUAACACAUGCAAGUCGAACGGAAAGGCCCUGCUUUUGUGGGGUGCUCGAGUGGCGAACGGGUGAGUAACACGUGAGUAACCUGCCCUUGACUUUGGGAUAACUUCAGGAAACUGGGGCUAAUACCGGAUAGGAGCUCCUGCUGCAUGGUGGGGGUUGGAAAGUUUCGGCGGUUGGGGAUGGACUCGCGGCUUAUCAGCUUGUUGGUGGGGUAGUGGCUUACCAAGGCUUUGACGGGUAGCCGGCCUGAGAGGGUGACCGGCCACAUUGGGACUGAGAUACGGCCCAGACGCCUACGGGAGGCAGCAGUGGGGAAUAUUGCACAAUGGGCGGGAGCCUGAUGCGGCAACGCCGCGUGCGGGAUGACGGCCUUCGGGUUGUAAACCGCUUUCGCCUGUGACGAAGCGUGAGUGACGGUAAUGGGUAAAGAAGCACCGGCUAACUACGU